rnacentral:lncRNA from 1 species
AUUGUAAGUAAUGGAAGGUUUCCCGGUGACCACCUGCCAAAGACCCAUAAUAGCAGGGCCAGCUGGCAAUUAAACGGCAUCUCUUUCGGUGUGUUCUUUCUUUCCCACCAGCCAAAACUCCUGCCAUGGAUACUCUGCCCAUACUCCUGAAAGUCCGGAAGAAGGAGGUUCAGGUUCGGCAAGCUUCUUACGACUGGAAGGUGUUCGCUGAAGGUGUCCCUUACUGUCUGGACGUUGACUCCGUCGAAGACCUGGAGAACAACGACAAGUUCUCCUUUACCAAAGCAGCCCUCUUUCUUGAACGUGCUAAAAACAAGAACAUAGAACACAAGCUGAGAGGCUAUUCCGACAGCCAAGAAUCCUGGAAAGAUCUGGAUGACAUCAAGGAGGUUUUCUGGUUCAGCAAGACCGAUGUGUCAGGUAAGGGGGGGGGCCAGGGCCAGCUCAAACAUGGCUGGGAGCAGCAU